GGGUUGUGAGGUUAAGCGACUAAGCGUACACGGUGGAUGCCCUGGCAGUCAGAGGCGAUGAAGGACGUGCUAAUCUGCGAAAAGCGUCGGUAAGGUGAUAUGAACCGUUAUAACCGGCGAUGUCCGAAUGGGGAAACCCAGUGCAAUUCGUUGCACUAUCGUUAACUGAAUACAUAGGUUAACGAGGCGAACCGGGGGAACUGAAACAUCUAAGUACCCCGAGGAAAAGAAAUCAACCGAGAUUCCCCCAGUAGCGGCGAGCGAACGGGGAGCAGCCCAGAGUCUGAAUCAGCUUGUGUGUUAGUGGAACGGUCUGGAAAGUCCGACGGUACAGGGUGAUAGUCCCGUACACCAAAAUGCACAGGCUGUGAACUCGAAGAGUAGGGCGGGACACGUGGUAUCCUGUCUGAAUAUGGGGGGACCAUCCUCCAAGGCUAAAUACUCCUGACUGACCGAUAGUGAACCAGUACCGUGAGGGAAAGGCGAAAAGAACCCCGGCGAGGGGAGUGAAAAAGAACCUGAAACCGUGUACGUACAAGCAGUGGGAGCACCUUCGGGUGUGACUGCGUACCUUUUGUAUAAUGGGUCAGCGACUUAUAUUCUGUAGCAAGGUUAACCGUAUAGGGGAGCCGCAGGGAAACCGAGUCUUAACUGGGCGUUAAGUUGCAGGGUAUAGACCCGAAACCCGGUGAUCUAGCCAUGGGCAGGUUGAAGGUUGGGUAACACUAACUGGAGGACCGAACCGACUAAUGUUGAAAAAUUAGCGGAUGACUUGUGGCUGGGGGUGAAAGGCCAAUCAAACCGGGAGAUAGCUGGUUCUCCCCGAAAGCUAUUUAGGUAGCGCCUCGUGAAUUCAUCUUCGGGGGUAGAGCACUGUUUCGGCUAGGGGGUCAUCCCGACUUACCAACCCGAUGCAAACUACGAAUACCGAAGAAUGUUAUCACGGGAGACACACGGCGGGUGCUAACGUCCGUCGUGAAGAGGGAAACAACCCAGACCGCCAGCUAAGGUCCCAAAGUCAUGGUUAAGUGGGAAACGAUGUGGGAAGGCACAGACAGCCAGGAUGUUGGCUUAGAAGCAGCCAUCAUUUAAAGAAAGCGUAAUAGCUCACUGGUCGAGUCGGCCUGCGCGGAAGAUGUAACGGGGCUAAACCAUGCACCGAAGCUGCGGCAGCGACACUAUGUGUUGUUGGGUAGGGGAGCGUUCUGUAAGCCUGCGAAGGUGACCUGUGAGGGUUGCUGGAGGUAUCAGAAGUGCGAAUGCUGACAUAAGUAACGAUAAAGCGGGUGAAAAGCCCGCUCGCCGGAAGACCAAGGGUUCCUGUCCAACGUUAAUCGGGGCAGGGUGAGUCGACCCCUAAGGCGAGGCCGAAAGGCGUAGUCGAUGGGAAACAGGUUAAUAUUCCUGUACUUGGUGUUACUGCGAAGGGGGGACGGAGAAGGCUAUGUUAGCCGGGCGACGGUUGUCCCGGUUUAAGCAUGUAGGCUGGUUGUCCAGGCAAAUCCGGAUAAUCAAGGCUGAGGUGUGAUGACGAGGUACUACGGUGCUGAAGUAACAAAUGCCCUGCUUCCAGGAAAAGCCUCUAAGCAUCAGGUAACAUCAAAUCGUACCCCAAACCGACACAGGUGGUCAGGUAGAGAAUACCAAGGCGCUUGAGAGAACUCGGGUGAAGGAACUAGGCAAAAUGGUGCCGUAACUUCGGGAGAAGGCACGCUGGUGUGUAGGUGAAGUCCCUGCGGAUGGAGCUGAGACCAGUCGAAGAUACCAGCUGGCUGCAACUGUUUAUUAAAAACACAGCACUGUGCAAACACGAAAGUGGACGUAUACGGUGUGACGCCUGCCCGGUGCCGGAAGGUUAAUUGAUGGGGUUAUCCGUAAGGAGAAGCUCUUGAUCGAAGCCCCGGUAAACGGCGGCCGUAACUAUAACGGUCCUAAGGUAGCGAAAUUCCUUGUCGGGUAAGUUCCGACCUGCACGAAUGGCGUAAUGAUGGCCAGGCUGUCUCCACCCGAGACUCAGUGAAAUUGAACUCGCUGUGAAGAUGCAGUGUACCCGCGGCAAGACGGAAAGACCCCGUGAACCUUUACUAUAGCUUGACACUGAACAUUGAGCCUUGAUGUGUAGGAUAGGUGGGAGGCUUUGAAGCGUGGACGCCAGUCUGCGUGGAGCCAACCUUGAAAUACCACCCUUUAAUGUUUGAUGUUCUAACGUUGGCCCCUGACCGGGGUUGCGGACAGUGUCUGGUGGGUAGUUUGACUGGGGCGGUCUCCUCCCAAAGCGUAACGGAGGAGCACGAAGGUUAGCUAAUCCUGGUCGGACAUCAGGAGGUUAGUGCAAUGGCAUAAGCUAGCUUGACUGCGAGCGUGACGGCGCGAGCAGGUGCGAAAGCAGGUCAUAGUGAUCCGGUGGUUCUGAAUGGAAGGGCCAUCGCUCAACGGAUAAAAGGUACUCCGGGGAUAACAGGCUGAUACCGCCCAAGAGUUCAUAUCGACGGCGGUGUUUGGCACCUCGAUGUCGGCUCAUCACAUCCUGGGGCUGAAGUAGGUCCCAAGGGUAUGGCUGUUCGCCAUUUAAAGUGGUACGCGAGCUGGGUUUAGAACGUCGUGAGACAGUUCGGUCCCUAUCUGCCGUGGGCGCUGGAGAAUUGAGGGGGGCUGCUCCUAGUACGAGAGGACCGGAGUGGACGCAUCACUGGUGUUCGGGUUGUCAUGCCAAUGGCACUGCCCGGUAGCUAAAUGCGGAAGAGAUAAGUGCUGAAAGCAUCUAAGCACGAAACUUGCCCCGAGAUGAGUUCUCCCUGAGACUUUAAGUCUCCUGAAGGAACGUUAAAGACGAUGACGUUGAUAGGCCGGGUGUGUAAGCGCAGCGAUGCGUUGAGCUAACCGGUACUAAUGAACCGUGAGGCUUAACCUUACAACGCCGAAG
rnacentral:rRNA from 1 species